AGAACUUCGGUUUUUUCUUAAGCGGAGUGGCGGACGGGUGAGUAACACGUGGGGAACCUAUCCAUCAGCGGGGGAUAACACUUGGAAACAGGUGCUAAUACCGCAUACGGCUUUUUUUCACCUGAAAGAAAGCUCAAAGGCGCUUUACAGCGUCACUGAUGGCUGGCCCCGCGGUGCAUUAGCCAGUUGGUGAGGUAACGGCUCACCAAAGCAACGAUGCAUAGCCGACCUGAGAGGGUGAUCGGCCACACUGGGACUGAGACACGGCCCAGACUCCUACGGGAGGCAGCAGUAGGGAAUCUUCGGCAAUGGACGCAAGUCUGACCGAGCAACGCCGCGUGAGUGAAGAAGGUUUUCGGAUCGUAAAGCUCUGUUGUCAGCAAAGAACAGGAGAAAGAGGCAAUGCUUUUUCUAUGACGGUAGCUGACCAGAAAGCCACGGCUAACUACGUGCCAGCAGCCGCGGUAAUACGUAGGUGGCAAGCGUUGUCCGGAUUUAUUGGGCGUAAAGCGAGCGCAGGCGGUGAUUUAAGUCUGAUGUGAAAGCCCCCAGCUCAACUGGGGAGGGUCAUUGGAAACUGGAUCACUUGAGUGCAGAAGAGGAGAGUGGAAUUCCAUGUGUAGCGGUGAAAUGCGUAGAUAUAUGGAGGAACACCAGUGGCGAAGGCGGCUCUCUGGUCUGUAACUGACGCUGAGACUCGAAAGCGUGGGUAGCAAACAGGAUUAGAUACCCUGGUAGUCCACGCCGUAAACGAUGAGUGCUAAGUGUUGGAGGGUUUCCGCCCUUCAGUGCUGCAGUUA
rnacentral:rRNA from 1 species